AAAACAACAGAAAUUUAUUCUCUCAUUGUUCUGGAGGCCAGAAGUCCGAAAUCAAGGUGUUGGCAGGCUGUGCUCCUUCUGAAGGCUCUAGGGGAGAAUCUUGCAUCUUCCAGCUUCUGGUGGCCCCAGGCACUGCAUCACGGCAACCUCCCCCUCCAUCUUCAUAUGGCCAUCUUCUCUGUGUCUCUCUGUGUCCUCUCCACUUCUCGUCUUGAGGCAGAUCCUGGAAAUGUCAGUGACCACUAACACCCUGUCCCCCAAAUGCAGCUGCACACCAUCUUCACGGAACUGCAUGUCCAGUUGUGCUUCAAGGCCCCCGCCCAGCAGCAGAACAGCAGCCGGAACAUGACACGGAGGUCGUGCACUGCUUCAUAGCCCUUGCCCGCUCCUACCCCAGGGAGCUGAUGAAGUUCUUCCUCAGCCAGAUGGAGAUGAGCAAGGAGGCCAUCCACGUGGGGACCCUGACCCUGAUUAGGGCAGCGGUGAGCACA
rnacentral:lncRNA from 1 species